ACGAACGCUGGCGGCGUGCCUAAUGCAUGCAAGUCGAACGCUCUUCCUACGGGACGGGCGUGGCGCACGGCCUGAGGAACACGUGGCUACCUGCCCCGCGGUGGGGGAUAACGGCGCGAAAGCGCCGCUAAUCCCGCAUACGCUCGUGUGCGAACACGCGGAAAGCUUUUGGCGCCGCGGGAGGGGGCUGCGGCCCAUCAGGUGGUUGGCGGGGGUAACGGCCCACCAAGCCGAUGACGGGUCGCUGGUCUGUGAGGACAACCAGCCAGACUGGGACUGAGAGACGGCCCAGACUCCUACGGGAGGCAGCAGCAAGGAAUUUUCCCCAAUGGGCGCAAGCCUGAGGGAGCAACGCCGCGUGCGGGACGACGGCCUUCGGGUUGUAAACCGCUUUUGCGGGGGACGAUGAUGACGGUACCCCGCGAACAAGCCCCGGCUAACUCUGUGCCAGCAGCCCGCGGUAAGACAGAGGGGGCAAGCGUUGUCCGGACUGACUGGGCGUAAAGCGCGCGCAGGCGGAGGCGGGCGUCGGUGCGGAAAGGUCGCCGCUCAACGGCGGAGAGCGUACCGAUACGCCGGCUCUGGAGCGCGGGCGAGGGUGGUGGAAUUGCCGGUGUAGUGGUGAAAUGCGUAGAGAUCGGCAGGAACACCCGUGGCGGAAGCGGCCACCUAGCCCGUUGCUGACGCUGAGGCGCGACAGCGUGGGGAGCGAACUGGAUUAGAUACCCAGGUAGUCCACGCCGUAAACGAUGCCGACUCGGUAUCCGGGGUCCGACAAGGACGCUGGGUGCCCAAGCUUACGCGCUAAGUCGGCCGCCUGGGGACUACGAGCGCAAGCUUAAAACUCAAAGGAAUUGACGGGGGCCCGCACAAGCAGCGGAGCGUGUGGUUUAAUUCGACGCAACGCGCAGAACCUUACCCAGACUGGACAUGCACCUGCAGAGUGGUGAAAGCCAUUGGCCUACGAGGGUGGUGCACAGAUGCUGCAUGGCUGUCGUCAGCCCGUGUCGUGAGAUGUUGGGUUAAGUCCCGCAACGAGCGCAACCCCUACGGUCAGUUGCACGUAUCUGACCGGACAGCCCUUCGGGGAGGAAGGCGGGGAUGACGUCAAGUCCGCAUGGCUCUUACGUCUGGGGCGACACACACGCUACAAUGGCGCCGACAGCGCGCGGCGACGGUGCAAGCCGAAGCGAAUCGCCAAACGGCGCCCCAGUGCAGAUUGGGGGCUGCACUCGCCCCCAUGAAGGCGGAGUUGCUAGUAACCGCGUAUCAGCCACGGCGCGGUGAAUACGUACCCGGGCCUUGUACACACCGCCCGUCACGUCAUGGGAGUUGCCAAGGCCUGAAGUCCGUGGGCUAACCGCGCUCGCAAGAGUGGGGAGGCAGCGGGCCGAAGGCCGGGGGAG
rnacentral:rRNA from 1 species